GUAGGAGAGCAGGGCCGAGAUUUGAAGCCAGGGCAGUUGGACAAGCCAGGCUCCACCAUGUGCUACAGAGGGACUUCAUGCAAAUCAGGUCAUUGAUCAGUUCCUUGAAUUCUGCUAUCGCUCGGCAGUGUGUGUGGUGCGGCAUGGCGUGGAGGGAGGGUCAGAGCACACGGCCCGGCUCACGUGGGUACCACUGCAGCUCUGCAUGGACCCUGCGCUCCAUCUUCAAGGUAAAAUCCUGAAGCUCAGAGUUUCAGCGACGUGGCGAUGUGCUCACUUCACGGACCCUCAGCCUGAGGUUUCCAGCCGAGAGGGCUGGCUCCAAAGCCUGUGUUUUCUAGAAACGCGAGUGACAGGACCGGGGUCUGGGUGGUUCAGAAAUGGUGCUCCAGGAACACCUCAGCGUCAGAGCGCCCAAACCUCUGUCUGGGCUCGUUUUCUCUUCACUCUACACUUUACCUGGGAAUCUCGUGCUUUCCUUUGGCUUCAGAUGCCAUCUGGAUGCCAAAGGCCUAUAGGCCUGUUUCUCCACCCAACCUGCCCCCCGGGCUCCAGGCCCAGGCAUGGACCUGCCUGGGGACAUUCCCCUGCAGGGCUCAAGCAGACCCCUUCCCGCCAGCCCACAUCUUUCUUCUCCCCACUCAGGGACCGCCACCAGCACCCACUGGGGGUUUGAGCUGCCGUCCUGGGCAGCCAUCUUUUUUUUAAAAAAUUGUGUUUCGUUGUUGUGGUUGUUUUUGGGUUUUGUUUGUUUGGUUGGUUUUUUUUUGGCCUCACCGCACGGCAUGUGGCAUCUUAGUUCCCUGACCAGGGAUCGAACCCGUGCCCCCUGCGGUGGAAGCGUGGAGCCCUAACCACUGGACCGCCGGGGCACUCCCUGGGCAGCUGUCCUUGACUCGUCACUCUCUCUCACUCUGUCCAUCCUUUCUGGAGUCCUGUCAGCAUCUGUCGGCUGUGCCCUCCCUGUGGUUAGAGGGGCCUGCUGAAAGUGCCAUCUAAUCAGCUCUGCAGAGCAGGCCUACUGCACGCAAAAUAAAACGGACAUUCCCUGAGCCCCCCCCUGGGGGCUUCACUGCUUUUGGCCUGGCCCACACUCCUCUGGGGUUGGACCUCCUCUUCCUCCCCUGCGCCCUCUCUCGCCUCUCCCACCUCAAGUGAACCCCACUCCCCUGGGCCUCCCCAGAAACCACUCAUGUUGGUUUCAUGCCGGCUCCUGGUGUCGGGGUCUGUUUCAGGGAGCCCAAGGCAAGACGUGAGCUGUACAGUAAGUCCCCUACAUACGAACCUUCAAGCUGUGAACUUUCAAAGAUGUGAACGUGUGUUCCAUCAACGUCAGGCAUGAGCGAAAUUGCAGCUUGCCCUCCGUCUCCUAUUGCUGGCGAUCCUUCAGCUCUACCAUCUCCCACCUCCUCUCCCUCCUCCAGUCAAUAACGUUCUUGCCUGUUCACUCGAUGCCAGCCCCUGUGUGCCAGCUGUUGUACUGCACUGCUGUACUUUUCAAGGUACAGCGCUGUAAGAUUAAAAAUGUUUAUUUUUUGUG
rnacentral:lncRNA from 1 species